UGGAAAGUUCAUUGUUCGGCACCAUGGAUCUCCAGGUGGGUCACGGUUAGAAAUACACCAACCUGGAGGACUCCAUGCUGUCGA
ensembl:miRNA microRNA 490